rnacentral:rRNA from 1 species
GUAGCCUACGGGACGCAGCAGUGAGGAAUAUUGGUCAAUGGGCGGAAGCCUGAACCAGCCAAGUCGCGUGAGGGAAUAAGGCCCUACGGGUCGUAAACCUCUUUUGCCGGGGAGCAAGGGCCGGGACGCGUCCCGGCCCGGAGAGUACCCGGAGAAAAAGCAUCGGCUAACUCCGUGCCCGCAGCCGCGGGAAUACGGAGGAUGCGCGCGUUAUCCGGAUUUAUUGGGUUUAAAGGGUGCGUAGGCGGGCUUUUAAGUCAGCGGUAAUAAUUCGGGGCUCAACCCCGUCCGGCCGUUG